rnacentral:rRNA from 1 species
UGGGGAAUAUUGCACAAUGGGGGAAACCCUGAUGCAGCGACGCCGCGUGAGCGAAGAAGUAUUUCGGUAUGUAAAGCUCUAUCAGCAGGGAAGAAAAUGACGGUACCUGACUAAGAAGCCCCGGCUAACUACGUGCCAGCAGCCGCGGUAAUACGUAGGGGGCAAGCGUUAUCCGGAUUUACUGGGUGUAAAGGGAGCGUAGACGGACUGGCAAGUCUGAUGUGAAAACCCGGGGCUCAACCCCGGGACUGCAUUGGAAACUGUCAGUCUAGAGUGUCGGAGGGGUAAGUGGAAUUCCUAGUGUAGCGGUGAAAUGCGUAGAUAUUAGGAGGAACACCAGUGGCGAAGGCGGCUUACUGGACGAUAACUGACGUUGAGGCUCGAAAGCGUGGGGAGCAAACAG